ACACAUCAUCAUUUUAGCAUUUGC
rnacentral:siRNA from 1 species